rnacentral:rRNA from 1 species
CCUACGGGAGGCAGCAGUGAGGAAUAUUGGUCAAUGGGCGCGAGCCUGAACCAGCCAAGUCGCGUGAGGGAAGACGGUCCUAUGGAUUGUAAACCUCUUUUGUCGGGGAGCAAAAGACUCCACUAGUGGCGUUCCGAUGGUACCCGAAGAAAAAGCAUCGGCUAACUCCUUGCCAGCCGCCUCGGUAAUACGGAGGAUGCCAGCGUUAUCCGGAUUUAUUGGGUUUUAAGGGUGCGCAGGCGGAAGAUCACUUCAGCGGUAAAAGUGAGGGGCUCAAGAUCGUGGUGCCGUUGAAACUGGUUUUCUUGAGUGAGCGAGAAGUAUGCGGAAUGCGUGGUGUAGCGGUGAAAGGCAUAGAUAUCACGCAGAACUCCGAUUGCGAAGGCAGCAUACCGGCGCUCAACUGACGCUGAUGCACGAAAGUGUGGGUAUCGAACAGGAUUAGAUACCCCUGUAGUC